GUUUAGAGACAGACAAGAUCCAGACACACAAAAAGGACGGCUGAAACAAGUGGCUGGGCAAAAGGCCAGCUUGAGAGGGAAGGAAAGAGGAGGAAAAGGGACGGGCUGCAGUUCCUGCCAAGAGUGCACUACCAGCUGACCAGAAAUCCCCUACUCCCUGGGGUCAAAAAGAAGGCAUCCCUUGGUUCCUAGGGUCAGAAAAACCCAUCACACUGGGGACCCACUGUAGACCUUUUAGUAGUAAUUCUGGUGUGAAGGCCCCUAGUCCCUGAGGUUUAAGGUGUCCCUUCAUCCCUAGGGUCAGAAAAACCCAUUGCACUGGGGACCCUUCACCCUUCACUAGUGACUCCAGCCCCCAUGGUACGAGACACCCAUCCAUGGAGGACUCCUGGGUGGCUUGACCUGGACGAGCGACUCUUAUCCACCACUCAGAUGUUUAUUGAGUCCUUGUUAUUGUGCUUCAUGUUUCCAAGGAAAAAGACAGAAUAGAAAGGGAAGUUUUCUUGGGAGGAAAAUGAAACUAAGUUUGGGCCACGAGGAGUAAGGGGGAGGAGUCCUUACCCGGCAGAGAAACGCAAAAGAAAUCUGUCUCGGCAGCUGCUUUGUUUGUCCACCAGGGUCAGGCAAUUCUCCUCUCCACACUGCCUCAGGUCCGAGAACGGGACAGGAAGGAUCCCGUCUCCUGGCUGGAUCACCAAAUUGUUACCAGAAUCAAAUAAGGUUCUUGCCUCUCACUGAUCAAGAAUGAGCAGAUUCAACUAAUUUAGAAGAUGCUUUUCCAACUCACAGUGAAUUUAGACGAGCUUACGUGUCUUGGCGUAUGCCUUAAUGGGUUGGUGCCUUCUUCUCCAAAGGGUAGAGUCAUUUCAAGCGAUUCAAAGUUCCAGCUCCAAAUGACGGUUGCUCAGGGAUUUCAACCCAUCCCCCAUCAAGAAGAGAGACAACAGCCCAAUAAAGGGCCAAUGUAGAUCCAAGAGAGAUACAAUGGUUUAACUCAGACAACACAAGAGUCCCACCCUCUAACUUAGGCCACUAUGCCCCCAUUCAGCAAAGACACGAUGCCCUGUUUUCUAAGACUGAGAAACUCACAACAAAAAGCGGGGAUUGGAAAAGGCUGCUCAACUGUAUCUUGAACAGAAUCUGCACCAUUUUUCUUUUCCCUAGACUGUGUCUGUCUCCAGGUGUGAUUUUGUUGUUUUAGUGGGUUCUCCUCUAAAAGUUAGAUGUUAACCCACGUUUCCCCUAGAACUGUGGAAAAUAAGUGAUAUCAAUCUAAGCCUGUCAAACAGGAAGGAGCAUGGCACCAGCCACCCCCUAGGCUGAUGGAAUAAUGGGAGGAAAAGACCAAUAUGUUUGAAAUACGACCACCGAAACCAAACAGAAGAAAGAGAAUGCACAUUGCACAAGUUCCUAAAACUUACGGCCCCUUUUCCCGAUAAAACCCCAGCUGGUCUACAGUUCCUACAGACAGACAGCUUUAGGAGGAGAUCAGUCCCCUCUGUCUCCAUAUACUGGUAUAUGAUAGAGCUCUUGCCACCCACCUCACCCCGUCUCAAGAACUGUUUGCAGCAGGUGGCUCAAACUCACGAAACUGCGGUAACAGUCUUGUCAUGAAGGAUGUGGUGGACUCCAGGGCAGAGCAAGAGGAAGAGGACUGGGGAAGAGGCAUGCGAUGAGCAAAGGAGCAGACCACUGCAGCGGGCACUCGGCCACCGGGGCAUAAGGCUAUCUGUCCCAUGGACAUCGGCCAGCCUCUACCUUCAGCCACACCUGGGCUUGGACAAUGAUCCCCUGCGCAGAGUAGCCUAAGCAACAGUAGGGGACACAAAACCUCUCUCUCAACAAAGCUGGUCCACCUGUGACAGCUGCUGAGUGCCUGUCCUGUCUGUCAGGAGCAGAGGGCGAGCCCUCAAUGUGGAGCCACCAGCAGGGAGGCCGAUCAGAGCCUGUAGGCAGUUGGCCAACUAGGUCUUCCACUCUGGAGGGGACAGUGAUGCUUCCAGACCACAAUGACAGCAACUCCAGACACAGGUUUGCCUUCCCUGCCACAGCACCCGUGCUGGCACCACUGUCCAGGGCCCAAAGAUCACUGCUGUACACCAGGGAUCCCAUUUUAUAGAAAAUGAGUGAAGCAGUGCUCUCAAUCCACUGGCCUCCACACACGCAUCCAUGAAGCAGCCAGUCCCAUAACUGCAGAGGCCGGCACCCCCGGCAGGCCCAGGGUGUGGACCUCGCCUGUGGGUAUGUGUCGAGACAACAGCUGCCAAUAGAGCGGCAUCCCCCACAGCUUGUGGACAAGGGUCCAUGCGCUGUGACUCCCUGUGUCCUGCUUGCAGCGGAUUUGCUUCCUGAUCCUGUAACUUUUGCCACUGCAAAAAACCAAGGCUGUGGAUCCUGUAAAAUCUAAAAGAUUUAAAUAAGGCCCUUUGCAGAAAACACCUGCUGUCUCAGGCUGGGCCCUCUAGAGAAGCAAACCCAGUGAAGGGUAUAUAUAAAACUUAUAAACAUACAUAUAUAUAUAGAGAGAAAUAGAUUCAUGUCAAGGAAAUGGCUUACAUGGUUAUAGAGG